AUAGAUACUAGGUGGAUAUCCACGCUGGCAAUAGGGUAAUCUUCUCUCCAUCUCUCCAUGUAAGUCUUCGAUGGGGAAACCACACCGAUAUUAGAACCCUUGAGAUCCAAACUUCAUCUUAUUCCCAAGCAUUGUCCAGUAAAGCUGCUAAUGAAAUAAUUAGAGUUAUCAGUGUUUAAGGAAAUAACGCUUGACACCAAUAGAUAAUGGCAACCACUCUCAUUGCUAAAGCACCGAUGAUGAUAUUAAAUGAUAAUUAAGACAGACAGCGAUUGUUUUAUUCAAACCGAUUUGAUUAUGAAGACACAACUAUUGGUAUGAUUAACCGAUUGUCAAGGAGAGGUGUGAUAUUCGUAAGGGGAGGUAUAAGACGUGUCUCUUAAGGAAACCCCUUUGUGAUGUAAAUAUAUAUUUGCAAUCUUUUCAUCCACAAAAGGGGAAGGAAGGAGAGAACGAAGUCUGCUCUCAACCCACACAUCAAAUUAUUAAAAGAGACAGAAAAAUCAAAAGAGAGAAAGAGGAAGUCUGAUAAAUAUCGAAGGAGAUAAAAUACAGGCUGCAGGUCAAACUGCCUAACCUACCAAGUCUGGCUCAACCCACCCUUACUCGAGCACUUGAAGAUGGCAAUGUUGAUGAACUUGUUGGUCACCAAUUGCAGAACUAAAAUUCAAAUAAGAUGAUGCAACUGGUUGCAUGUGCAGCCUCUUCUGUUCAAUAUUUUGCAAGAAGACACCCUCUUAUGGCACAGAUAGCUCGAGCCUUGGAAGGUGAUGUUUCUCUUGAUGAUCUAAAUGAGAGAGUGAAGCUAGGGCAUAGUACUGUGUAUGGAUCAUAUGGAAGCACGGACUAUGAUUCCAGCCAAUAUCUUUUUAAAGCUUUUCAUUAGUUUGGCUUAUUCUGUAAAAUUUUAAGCAGAGCAUUGCAAUUGAAUGUUUAAAAUUUCCUAGACCACAAGCAUGAAUGUUUGAUAGUCUCAGAAAAUUGUGACAGAAAAUUAU